rnacentral:rRNA from 1 species
UGGGGAAUAUUGCACAAUGGGGGAAACCCUGAUGCAGCGACGCCGCGUGGAGGAAGAAGGUCUUCGGAUUGUAAACUCCUGUUGUUGAGGAAGAUAAUGACGGUACUCAACAAGGAAGUGACGGCUAACUACGUGCCAGCAGCCGCGGUAAAACGUAGGUCACAAGCGUUGUCCGGAAUUACUGGGUGUAAAGGGAGCGCAGGCGGGAAGACAAGUUGGAAGUGAAAUCCAUGGGCUCAACCCAUGAACUGCUUUCAAAACUGUUUUUCUUGAGUAGUGCAGAGGUAGGCGGAAUUCCCGGUGUAGCGGUGGAAUGCGUAGAUAUCGGGAGGAACACCAGUGGCGAAGGCGGCCUACUGGGCACCAACUGACGCUGAGGCUCGAAAGUGUGGGUAGCAAACAGGAUUAGAUACCCUGGUAGUCCACACUGUAAACGAUGAUUACUAGGUGUUGGAGGAUUGACCCCUUCAGUGCCGCAGUUAACACAAUAAGUAAUCCACCUGGGGAGUACGACCGCAAGGUUGAAACUCAAAGGAAUUGGCGGGGGCCCGCACAAGCAGUGGAGUAUGUGGUUUAAUUCGACGCAACGCGAAGAACCUUACCAAGUCUUGACAUCCCUUGACGAUGCUGGAAACAGUAUUUCUCUUCGGAGCAAGGAGACAGGUGGUGCAUGGUUGUCGUCAGCUCGUGUCGUGAGAUGUUGGGUUAAGUCCCGCAACGAGCGCAACCCUUAUGGUCAGUUACUACGCAAGAGGACUCUGGCCAGACUGCCGUUGACAAAACGGAGGAAGGUGGGGAUGACGUCAAAUCAUCAUGCCCUUUAUGACUUGGGCUACACACGUACUACAAUGGCGUUAAACAAAGAGAAGCAAGACCGCGAGGUGGAGCAAAACUCAGAAACAACGUCCCAGUUCGGACUGCAGGCUGCAACUCGCCUGCACGAAGUCGGAAUUGCUAGUAAUCGCAGAUCAGCAUGCUGCGGUGAAUACGUUCCC